UACGGAGGGUGCAAGCAUUAAUCGGAUUUAUUGGGCGUAAAGCGCACGUAGGCGGAUUGGAAAGUUGGAGGUGAAAUCCCAGGGCUCAACCUUGGAACUGCCUUCAAAACUCCCAGUCUUGAGGUCGAGAGAGGUAAGUGGAAUUCCGAGUGUAGAGGUGAAAUUCGUAGAUAUUCGGAGGAACACCAGUGGCGAAGGCGGCUUACUGGCUCGAUACUGACGCUGAGGUGCGAAAGCGUGGGGAGCAAACAGG
rnacentral:rRNA from 1 species